UACGUAGGGGGCAAGCGUUGUCCGGAUUUAUUGGGCGUAAAGAGCGUGUAGGCGGCUAGGUAGGUCCGUUGUGAAACUCGAGGCUCAACCUCGAGACGCCGAUGGAAACCAUCUGGCUAGAGUCCGGAAGAGGAGAGUGGAAUUCCUGGUGUAGCGGUGAAAUGCGCAGAUAUCAGGAAGAACACCGAUGGCGAAAGCAGCUCUCUGGGACGGUACUGACGCUGAGACGCGAAAGCGUGGGGAGCAAACAGG
rnacentral:rRNA from 1 species